CCUACGGGUGGCAGCAGUAGGGAAUCUUCCACAAUGGGCGAAAGCCUGAUGGAGCAACGCCGCGUGGGUGAAGAAGGUCUUCGGAUCGUAAAACCCUGUUGUUAGAGAAGAAAGUUCGUGUGAGUAACUGUUCACGUUUUGACGGUAUCUACCCAGAAAGUCACGGCUAACUACGUGCCAGCAGCCGCGGUAAUACGUAGGUGGCAAGCGUUGUCCGGAUUUAUUGGGCGUAAAGGGAAUGCAGGCGGUCCUUUAAGUCUGAUGUGAAAGCCUUCGGCUUAACCGGAGAAGUGCAUUGGAAACUGGGGAACUUGAGUGCAGAAGAGGAGAGUGGAACUCCAUGUGUAGCGGUGAAAUGCGUAGAUAUAUGGAAGAACACCAGUGGCGAAGGCGGCUCUCUGGUCUGUAACUGACGCUGAGGUUCGAAAGCGUGGGUAGCGAACAGGAUUAGAUACCCUAGUAGUC
rnacentral:rRNA from 1 species